rnacentral:tRNA from 1 species
GCCUUUGUGGUGUAAUUGAAAAGCACGUCCGGUUAGGAAUCGAAAGGUCUAGAGUUUGAGUCUCGUUGAAGGCA